rnacentral:lncRNA from 1 species
UUGGAUAAAAGUUUGGAGUUGUAUGAUAAGAAUGGACCUUGGGCCUAACUCAACCCCAAAAGCUAGCUUGUGAGGUGAGGAUUGCCCAAGCCAUAUAAGGAGACCAAGGACCUCCAAUCCCUACGAUGUGGGACAACUCAACACCCCCUCUCACACCCAGGCCUCUGGAGCGUGGACAACAUAAAUGGGGGCCCAACAUCGUAACAAUAAUUGGGAUGGGUCUGGCUCUGAUACCAUGAUAAGAUUGAACAUUGUGCCUAAACUCAACCCCAAAAGCUAGCUUAUGAGGUGAGGAUUGCCCAAGCCAAAAUAAGAAUGGACCUUGAGUCUAACUCAACCCCAAAAGCUAGCUUGUGACGUGAGGAUUUCCCAAGCCAUAUAAGGAGACGAAGGACCUCCAAUCCCUCAAAUGCGAGACAACUCAACAUUGUCAAAACAAAGUUGGAAUUAAUGCGUUUCUUGGAUAUUAUCCUUGAAAUUGACUUUUAUGUUUUCUAGGAGUCUCUUAUUCUUUCAAGAGUAUUAUUUAGUUCUUCGAUAUUAUCUAUUAGUUUUUCGAGAAGUCUUUUAGGAAGUUGUGAUACAUGUAUCUUGUUAGUUAUGCAAGAUUCUUGAAUUGUUAUUUGAAUAGUAUAAAUAGGGAUGCAUUUGGUGGUUGUAAUUGAAAAGAAUGGACAUUAGACCUAACUCAACCCCAAAAGCUAGCUUAUGAGGUGAGGAUUGCCCAAGCCAUAUAAGGAGACCCUUGGGCCUAACUCAACUUCAAAAGCUAGCUUAUGAGGUGAGGAUUGCCCAAGUCAUACAAGGAGACCAAGGACCUCAAAUCCCUCCGAUGUGGGACAACUCAACACCCCCCCCCUCACGCCCAGAUCUCUGGAGCGUGGACAACAUAAAUGGGGGCCCAACAUCGGUAACAAUAAUUGGGAUGGAUCUGGCUCUGAUACAAUGAAAAGAAUGGACAUUGGACCUAACUCAACCCCAAAAGCUAGCUUAUGAGGUGAGGAUUGCCCAAGCCAUAUAAGGAGACCAAGGACCUCAAAUCCCUCCGAUGUGGGACAACUCAACAGUAAUCAUAUCAAGUGGCCUUAAGUAGCCUGAUAAAACUUGAGCAUUCUCUAAGAAAAAAUAUUCUCUUCCUAUUCAUACCUACAAUUGCUGAACACGUUUACUUCAUCCACUUGGCAUAAGA